rnacentral:rRNA from 1 species
UACGUAGGGGGCAAGCGUUGUCCGGAAUCAUUGGGCGUAAAGCGCGUGUAGGCGGCUCGAUAAGUCUGCUGUGAAAGUCCAGGGCUCAACCCUGGGAUGCCGGUGGAUACUGGCGAGCUCGAGUCCGGAAGAGGCGAGUGGAAUUCCUGGUGUAGCGGUGAAAUGCGCAGAUAUCAGGAGGAACACCAAUGGCGAAGGCAGCCCGCUGGGACGUGACUGACGCUGAGACGCGAAAGCGUGGGGAGCAAACAGG